ACCACCUGGCUCUUGGCUCUCGCUUACUGCAUCCUCUCUAGAGAUCAUAAAGAUGAAGAAGAAGAAGACCUUCUCACCAAGAUGAAUCCUCAUCUUUGUGUUCCCUCUUUGGUCAGUAGGGUGUAUUUCGAUGAUGCCCCAGGACCUCCUGUUGAUCAAGGUACUUGCAUAAAAAGUUUUUCUGAUUAAGGGUGUAAUAGUAAAUAUUCAUAAAAGAUAGGAGUGUAAUUAGCAUUGUGUAAAUUUCAUCUUAUCAUAAAUUUGCAUGCUUAUUCCUUUGGUUUUAUCUCUGACAAAAAUUAGACAAGUGCCGGCUGUUCAACACUCAUAUGCCCUUCAGCUACCUCCCGGAUUCGAUCACAAAUAACGACAGUACCUGUAAAUUGGUUUACAUAACUCGAGACCCAAAGGACACACUGGUGUCUCUCUGGCACUUCUUCAACAAAAUCUACAGAUCGGACAACAACCUCGAUCCAUUAUCACUCGAAAAAGCCGCAGACAACUUCUGCAGCGGAGCGAUCCCCU
rnacentral:lncRNA from 1 species